rnacentral:tRNA from 1 species
GUGACGAUAGCUUAAUUGGCAAAGCGCGAGGUUGUGAUCCUCGAAGUUGUCGGUUCGACCCCGAUUCGUCACC